rnacentral:rRNA from 1 species
GACGAACCGAGCGAACGUUGUUCGGAAUCACUGGGCUUAAAGGGCGCGUAGGCGGGUGGUCAAGUCCGGGGUGAAAUCCUCCAGCUCAACUGGAGAACUGCCUCGGAUACUGGGUGCCUCGAGGGUGGUAGGGGUAUGCGGAACUAUCGGUGGAGCGGUGAAAUGCGUUGAUAUCGAUAGGAACUCCGGUGGCGAAGGCGGCAUACUGGACCACAUCUGACGCUGAGGCGCGAAAGCCAGGGGAGCAAACGGG